rnacentral:rRNA from 1 species
AUUAGAUAGUUGGCGAGGUAACGGCUCACCAAGUCUACGAUCAUUAGCUGAUGUGAGAGCAUGAUCAGCCACACGGGCACUGAGACACGGCCCAGACUCCUACGGGAGGCAGCAGUGGGGAAUUUUGGACAAUGGGCGCAAGCCUGAUCCAGCAAUGCCGCGUGUGGGAAGAAGGCCUUCGGGUUGUAAACCACUUUUGUACGGAACGAAACGGUUCGCUUUAAUACAGUGGUCUGAUGACGGUACCGUAAGAAUAAGCACCGGCUAACUACGUGCCAGCAGCCGCGGUAAUACGUAGGGUGCGAGCGUUAAUCGGAAUUACUGGGCGUAAAGCGUGCGCAGGCGGUUAUAUAAGACAGUUGUGAAAUCCCCGGGCUCAACCUGGGAAUU